rnacentral:lncRNA from 10 species
AUUGAAUUAACAAUAAUAAAUGCACUGACAAAUAGGUUUGUUUUUCCUAUAUUAAUUUAGGAAUGACUGCCAGCAAAAAACCUGGGAACCGAGAAUGCAAUCAUCCUUGUAAAAGUAAACAUACAUGUGGACAUAACUGCUGUGAGUUCCUUAAAACAAGUUUAUUUCAAGUGUUCAGAAUUGAAAGGUCUUUGGUGGAUAGUAAUGACAUCCUAAUUAUCUAUGUAUGAUAUUUAUAUUAUGCAACUUAAUAACUCAAAUAAUUUUCUCUCUUUUGUGGGCAACAUAAAAAGGUAAAUACUAGAUUCGAAAAUUUAAAGAAAUUUGACUUUAUAAGAAUAAAAUCUGAAGUGUAACCUAAAGAAUCUGAAGCUUCUUUUCAUAGGUAAAAUUGGAAUUGCACAGAAGUGAGAAAUUAAAGAGUCAACAAUUUCUUCAUAUUUAUCUGAUUUAAGAAACAGGAACGCUGUUUCAUCUGUUCCUACAGUUAAACGUCUGAAGAUACAGAUGAGUAAAUCUCAAAGUGUGGACCUUAAAGAGUUUGGUUUUACUCCAAAACCUUCCCUUCCUAGUAUAUCGAGGUCAGAAUAUUUAAACAUAUCUGAAUUUCCUAUAAUGGAGCAGUGGGAUCAGCCUGAAAUCUAUGGAAAAGUUAGACAAGAACCAUCUGAAUAUCAAGACAAAGAAGUUUUGAAUGUGAACUUUGAAUUGGGAAAUGAAGUUCGGGAUGAUUUUGAUGAGGAAAACUUAGAAGUUACUAGCUUUUCAACUGAUACUGAGAAGACAAAAAUAUCAGGAUUUGGAAACACUUUGAGUUCAAGUACCAGGGCAAGUAAGCUACCCCUUCAAGAGUCAAAGAGCAAAUUCCAAAGAGAAAUGUCAAACAGGCAAGUUUUAGAACUUUGGUUUGUAAUACAUACAACUUUAUAUCCUCUUGACGCAUA